UACAUAGGUCUCAAGCGUUAUCCGGAUUUACUGGGCGUAAAGCGUGCGUAGGUGUUCCGCCAAGUUUUCUGUGAAAUCUCCAGGCUCAACUUGGAAAUUGUAGAAAAAACUGGCGGAAUUGAGUGUGACAGAGGCAAGCGGAAUUCGAGGUGUAGCGGUAAAAUGCGUAGAUAUCUCGAAGAACACCGAUGGCGAAGGCAGCUUGCUGGGUCACUACUGACACUGAGGUACGAAAGCGUGGGUAGCGAACGGG
rnacentral:rRNA from 1 species